rnacentral:lncRNA from 10 species
AGUUGUAACUCUAACCCUUCCCCACUCUAGACUCACAUUCCCUUUCUUUCCCAGGCUCACCCCAUCUUUUGGAAAUAUUUGAGGACUUGGCUGAAGGUGAAGACCAUAAAUUCAUCAAGGAUCGUUUCAGAGCCAAAAGCAGUGAAGCAGAAAGCAAGACCAUCAGCGGAAAGUGAAGAUGGAGCAGUAGGUACCACAAAUUUGAGGAGAAAACAAUCACUCAUACAUGAAUGCAUCUGUAAGUAAUCUCUUGAAAAAUGCAUAAAACUGUACAUGCAUUACUAAACUCUUGGCUAUAGAUUUGGUUCCAGAAAAAAAAAAAAAAAGACCAGAAAACAUUUUUACACAUACAGCAUAUGGAAAGCCAUCUGAAUACAACAACAUGUACAAACGAAG